rnacentral:rRNA from 2 species
UGCAGAAUCCCGUGAACCAUUGAGUCUUUGAACGCAAGUUGCGCCCGAAGCCUUUAGGCCGAGGGCACGCCUGCCUGGGCGUCA